rnacentral:rRNA from 1 species
AGAGUUUGAUCCUGGCUCAGAACGAACGCUGGCGGCGUGCUUAACACAUGCAAGUCGAACGAGAAUCGGAGCUUGCUCCGAGGAUAGUGGCGCACGGGUGAGUAACGCGUGGAUAACCUGCCCUGGUAUCUGGGAUAACAUCUCGAAAGGGGUGGCUAAUACCGGAUAAGCCCACCGGGAACGUUUGGUUUCUUGCGGGAAAAGGGUAGGCCUCUGAAUAUGCUACUGUAUCAGGAUGGGUCCGGCGUACCACUUAGCUAGUUGGUGGUGGUAAUGGACCACCAAGGCGACGAUGGUUAGCUGGUCUGAGAGGGAUGAUCAGCCACACUGGAACUGAGACACGGUCCAGACUCCUACGGGAGGCAGCAGUGGGGAAGUUUUGUCGCAAUGGGGGGAAACCCG